GGAUGCGAUGAUACCAGCACUAAAGCACCGGAUCCCAUCAAAACUCCAAAGUUAAGCGUGCUUGGGCGAGAGUAGUACAAGGAUGGGUGACCUCCUGGGAAGUCCUCGUGUUGCAUUCC
rnacentral:rRNA from 1 species